GAUGAACGCUGGCGGCGUGCCUAAUACAUGCAAGUCGAACGAGCAGACGAGGAGCUUGCUCCUCUGACGUUAGCGGCGGACGGGUGAGUAACACGUGGAUAACCUACCUAUAAGACUGGGAUAACUUCGGGAAACCGGAGCUAAUACCGGAUAAUAUAUUGAACCGCAUGGUUCAAUAGUGAAAGACGGUUUUGCUGUCACUUAUAGAUGGAUCCGCGCCGCAUUAGCUAGUUGGUAAGGUAACGGCUUACCAAGGCGACGAUGCGUAGCCGACCUGAGAGGGUGAUCGGCCACACUGGAACUGAGACACGGUCCAGACUCCUACGGGAGGCAGCAGUAGGGAAUCUUCCGCAAUGGGCGAAAGCCUGACGGAGCAACGCCGCGUGAGUGAUGAAGGUCUUCGGAUCGUAAAACUCUGUUAUUAGGGAAGAACAAAUGUGUAAGUAACUAUGCACGUCUUGACGGUACCUAAUCAGAAAGCCACGGCUAACUACGUG
rnacentral:rRNA from 1 species